CGGAAUGUAGCUCAGGUGGUAGAGCGCACGGUUCGGGACCGUGAGGUCGCAGGUUCGAGUCCUGUCAUUCCGACCA
rnacentral:tRNA from 11 species